GGUUUUUGGUCUAGUUGGUCAUGGCAUCCGCUUUUACACGCGCGGAACGUCGGCAGUUCGAUCCUGUCAGAAAUCA
rnacentral:tRNA from 1 species